AUUGAACGCUGGCGGAAUGCUUUACACAUGCAAGUCGAGCGGCAGCGCGGGGCAACCUGGCGGCGAGCGGCGAACGGGUGAGUAAUAUAUCGGAACGUGCCCAGUCGUGGGGGAUAACGCAGCGAAAGCUGUGCUAAUACCGCAUACGAUCUACGGAUGAAAGCGGGGGAUCGCAAGACCUCGCGCGAUUGGAGCGGCCGAUAUCAGAUUAGCUAGUUGGUGGGGUAAAAGCCCACCAAGGCGACGAUCUGUAGCUGGUCUGAGAGGGCGACCAGCCACACUGGAACUGAGACACGGUCCAGACUCCUACGGGAGGCAGCAGUGGGGAAUUUUGGACAAUGGGCGCAAGCCUGAUCCAGCAAUGCCGCGUGCAGGAUGAAGGCCUUCGGGUUGUAAACUGCUUUUGUACGGAGCGAAACGGCUCUCUUUAAUACAGGGGGCUAAUGACGGUACCGUAAGAAUAAGCACCGGCUAACUACGUG
rnacentral:rRNA from 1 species